CACGUAGGGCGCAAGCGUUGUCCGGAAUUAUUGGGCGUAAAGAGCUCGUAGGCGGUCUGUUGCGUCCGCUGUGAAAACUCGGGGCUUAACCCCGAGCCUGCAGUGGAUACGGGCAGACUAGAGGUAGGUAGGGGAGAAUGGAAUUCCCGGUGUAGCGGUGAAAUGCGCAGAUAUCGGGAGGAACACCGGUGGCGAAGGCGGCGCUCUGGGCCGGAACUGACGCUGAGGAGCGAAAGCGUGGGUAGCAAACAGG
rnacentral:rRNA from 1 species